AAUAGAUACCCUGGUAGUCCACGCUGUAAACGGUGGGUACUAGGUGUGGGGUCCAUUCCACGGGUUCCGCGCCGUAGCUAACGCUUUAAGUACCCCGCCUGGGGAGUACGGCCGCAAGGCUAAAACUCAAAGGAAUUGACGGGGCCCCGCACAAGCGGCGGAGCAUGCGGAUUAAUUCGAUGCAACGCGUAGAACCUUACCUGGGUUUGACAUGGAUCGGGAGUGCUCAGAGAUGGGUGUGCCUCUUUUGGGGUCGGUUCACAGGUGGUGCAUGGCUGUCGUCAGCUCGUGUCGUGAGAUGUUGGGUUAAGUCCCGCAACGAGCGCAACCCUUGUUCACUGUUGCCGGCACGUUAUGGUGGGGACUCAGUGGAGACCGCCGGGGUCAACUCGGAGGAAGGUGGGGAUGACGUCAAGUCAUCAUGCCCCUUAUGUCCAGGGCUUCACGCAUGCUACAAUGGCUGGUACAGAGAGUGGCGAGCCUGUGAGGGUGAGCGAAUCUCGGAAAGCCGGUCUCAGUUCGGAUUGGGGUCUGCAACUCCG
rnacentral:rRNA from 1 species